GACGAACGCUGGCGGCGUGCUUAACACAUGCAAGUCGAACGGUAAGGCCCUUCGGGGUACACGAGUGGCGAACGGGUGAGUAACACGUGGGUGAUCUGCCCUGCACUUCGGGAUAAGCCUGGGAAACUGGGCCUAAUACCGGAUAGGACCACUGCCUGCAUGGGUGGUGGUGGAAAGCUUUUGCGGUGUGGGAUGGGCCCGCGGCCUAUCAGCUUGUUGGUGGGGUGAUGGCCUUCCAAGGCGACGACGGGUAGCUGGCCUGAGAGGGUGACCGGCCACACUGGGACUGAGAUACGGCCCAGACUCCUACGGGAGGCAGCAGUGGGGAAUAUUGCACAAUGGGCGCAAGCCUGAUGCAGCGACGCCGCGUGAGGGAUGUCGGCCUUCGGGUUGUAAACCUCUUUCAGCACCGACGAAGCGCAAGUGACGGUAGGUGCAGAAGAAGGACCGGCCAACUACGUGCCAGCCGCCGCAGUAA
rnacentral:rRNA from 1 species